rnacentral:tRNA from 1 species
GCCCAGGUGGCGGAAUUGGCAGACGCGCCAGCUUGAGGUGCUGGUGGUUUCACGACCUUGGAGGUUCGAGUCCUCUUCUGGGCA